GGAAGUAAAAGACGUAACAAGGCUUCCGUAGGUGAACCUGCGGAAGGAUCAUUAUUGAAUAAACCUGAUGUGGUUGUAGCUGGCCCUUUCGGGAGCAUGUGCACACCCGUCGUCUUUAUCUUUCCACCUGUGCACCUAUUGUAGACCUGGAUGUAACACUUUCCGAGGCAACUCGGUCGGGAGGAAUGCUGUCAGCUUUCCUUGAAUGUCCAGGCCUAUGUUUUCAUAUACCCCAAAGAAUGUAACAGAAUGUAUUAUUGGGCCUUGCGCCUAUAAACUAUAUACAACUUUCAGCAACGGAUCUCUUGGCUCUC
rnacentral:misc_RNA from 1 species